rnacentral:rRNA from 1 species
UAGGGAAUCUUCGGCAAUGGACGAAAGUCUGACCGAGCAACGCCGCGUGAGGGAAGAAGGUUUUCGGAUCGUAAAACUCUGUUGUUAGAGAAGAACAAGGACGUUAGUAACUGAACGUCCCCUGACGGUAUCUAACCAGAAAGCCACGGCUAACGACGUGCCAGCAGCCGCGGUAAUACGUAGGUGGCAAGCGUUGUCCGGAUUUAUUGGGCGUAAAGCGAGCGUAGGCGGUUUCUUAAGUCUGAUGUGAAAGCCCCCGGCUCAAACGUGGAGGGUCAUUGGAAACUGCGAGACUUGAGUGAAGAAGAGGAGAGUGGAAUUCCAUGUGUAGCGGUGAAAUGCGUAGAUAUAUGGAGGAACACCAGUGGCGAAGGCGGCUCUCUGGUCUGUAACUGAAGCUGAGGCUCGAAAGCGUGGGGAGCAAACAGG